CCUACGGGUGGCAGCAGUGAGGAAUAUUGGUCAAUGGGCGGAAGCCUGAACCAGCCAAGUAGCGUGCAGGAUGACGGCCCUACGGGUUGUAAACUGCUUUUAUACGGGAAUAAAGUGCCUUACGUGUACGGCUUGGCGAGUACCGGAUGAAUAAGGACCGGCUAAUUCCGUGCCAGCAGCCGCGGUAAUACGGAAGGUGCGGGCGUUAUCCGGAUUUAUUGGGUUUAAAGGGAGCGUAGGCCGCAUGUUAAGCGUGCGGUGAAAUGGCGGGGCUCAACCCGGGCCUUGCGGCGCGAACUGGGGUGCUUGAGUGCGCGGAAAGGACGCGGAAUUCGUGGUGUAGCGGUGAAAUGCUUAGAUAUCACGAAGAACUCCGAUUGCGAAGGCAGCUUGCUGCAGCGGAACUGACGCUGAAGCUCGAAGGCGCGGGUAUCGAACAGGAUUAGAUACCCCAGUAGUC
rnacentral:rRNA from 1 species